AUCCACAUUUCAGCCAUUUAUUUCAUUUAACCGUGAGUCUUUCUUUUAUUCAUUUAGUAAUCCAAAUUAUUUUUUUUGAAAAUAGUAACCCAAGUAUAUCAAGGAUUUCAUUAUUUAUCUUCACUGUUGCAUUCUAAAAUAAAAGUCUGCAACAAAUCUCAAUUAUCCAACCACAACCGCCAUACUCCUCUCUUAUCCCGUUUCCUCACCGCCAUACAUAUAUAUCAGAUUCAAUCACCUAUCUAUAUCUUAUUUCAUCCUUUUUCUAUAUCUGAAAUUUGCAAUCGUAAACUUAUCCAGCAAGAAAAUCAAGUUCUUUCCUUUCACUGCAGAGGUGUGGCGCGACUAGGACGUAAAUUUUGAUUGAGUUUCUCAAAGUUAGCCUUCAAGUUCAAGUUUUCAGGUAUUUUUCACGUUGGAGACGCGUGGAGGGUCGAAUGGGCGCAUCAAGUCAUUUUGAAAAUAGUUGAUUCAAAUAUUUAAAGUUUUACUUAGUAGUUAAACAUUUUCAUGAUAUCUUUAUGUCAUGCUUUGGUACGAAGAUGUUGAUUUUUGAUUUUCAAUUAAAGUUAAUAUUUGAAUA